AAGAGCAUCAAUGCUCAAGUUAAAGUUGUCUGCACUGCGGCAAGGAACAGGUAUAAUCUCCACUCCAGUUCUCCACUUGACAUCCCUAUCAAGAUCAGGAUAAUAUGGUGAGGGAACAAGAAAAGCAUUUCCAGGAUCAGCUAGGCAGAAGCUCAGUAUCUCAAGCGCAGGAGUUGCACCACCGGUAAGAACCAUUUGUGAGGGGCUGAAGGACACUGAUCUCUCUAGAGCUUGAGACAUAAAUUCUCCCACAGCCACUUUCAGCUCCAAUA
rnacentral:misc_RNA from 1 species